rnacentral:rRNA from 1 species
UACGAAGGGGGCUAGCGUUGCUCGGAAUCACUGGGCGUAAAGCGCACGUAGGCGGCUUAUUAAGUCAGGGGUGAAAUCCUGGAGCUUAACUCCAGAACUGCCUUUGAUACUGAUGAGCUUGAGUCCGGGAGAGGUGAGUGGAACUGCGAGUGUAGAGGUGAAAUUCGUAGAUAUUCGCAAGAACACCAGUGGCGAAGGUGGCUCACUGGCCCGGUACUGACGCUGAGGUGCGAAAGCGUGGGGAGCAAACAGG